rnacentral:rRNA from 1 species
GACGAACCGUGCGAACGUUAUUCGGAAUCACUGGGCUUAAAGCGUGUGUAGGCGGGCGAUCAAGUACCUUGUGAAAUCCCACGGCUCAACCGUGGAACCGCUGGGUAUACUGGUCGUCUUGAGCCGGCUAGGGGCGAGCGGAACAGACGGUGGAGCGGUGAAAUGCGUAGAUAUCGUCUGGAACGCCGAAGGUGAAAACAGCUCGCUGGGGCCGCGCUGACGCUGAGACACGAAAGCCAGGGGAGCGAACGGG